rnacentral:rRNA from 1 species
AGUGAACGCUGGCGGUAGGCCUAACACAUGCAAGUCGAACGGCAGCACAGUAAGAGCUUGCUCUUACGGGUGGCGAGUGGCGGACGGGUGAGGAAUACAUCGGAAUCUACUUUUUCGUGGGGGAUAACGUAGGGAAACUUACGCUAAUACCGCAUACGACCUACGGGUGAAAGCAGGGGAUCUUCGGACCUUGCGCGAUUGAAUGAGCCGAUGUCGGAUUAGCUAGUUGGCGGGGUAAAGGCCCACCAAGGCGACGAUCCGUAGCUGGUCUGAGAGGAUGAUCAGGCACACUGGAACUGAGACACGGUCCAGACUCCUACGGGAGGAAGCAGUGGGGAAUAUUGGACAAUGGGCGCAAGCCUGAUCCAGCCAUACCGCGUGGGUGAAGAAGGACUUAGGGUUGUAAAGCCCUUUUGUUGGGAAAGAAAAGCAGCAGGUUAAUACCCCGCUGUUCUGACGGUACCCAAAGAAUAAGCACCGGCUAACUUCGUG